UUGUAUAUUUGACAGACUUCUCGAUUUUUGUUGAGUGUAAUAGUCAUACUUCCGUUGCACAAAUCCUCUUCCUCUAAAGUAGCGUCAACAAUCGCUAAUUCGCCAUUAUUGAAGAAACUGAAGGUCACGCAUAUAGGCAUAUGCAAUAUGGAAAGAGGAACGGGUACACGCUCUUCUACUGGAUGUACUGUCACUUCCUCACCCACAACAGUAAGCUCAGGUCGGCGAAAAUGACAAAGAGCAGCUAUUACUGCGAUACAAGCGGCAUCAACUAAAUUUCCAUCAUGAUUAAUAAAAUGGACCGAAGCACGAACGUGCCAACACUUUUGACCGGAUAUUAUACAUAAGGACUCCGUAUCCAAUGCAUUGGAUCGGCGGACCGCUUUUUCAAUUAGUCUGGAAAUAACAAUUUCCUGAUCAGAAACUCUGUGAUUAUUAGUAUGUUGUUAGGUGGAAAAAAAAAACAGCCACUGAAUCAACCCUUCGGCUGACAAAAGUAAAAGUACAAUACAGAUCAUUUCUUACCUUCCAGCUUCAAAUGCAGAAUAUGCCAAAGGAGUGAGUUCAGUAGUAAUAGAAAAGAUGCCAUCAAAUGGCCUGUCUGUAUAUGGUUUUGUAAUUUCAGUUGUGAUCCUGGCCAUAACUCUACAGUACUUGUUAGUAAAAGCUGUUCAUUAUUAAAAAAAGAGAAAAAUAUACCUUGUAUGACCAAAUGAAACAUCUACUUGUCCAUAUUCCUUUCCAAAUUGAAUUUCCAAAGAUCUGAAAUCUGACAGCUGUCGACCAUCUAAUCGAAGACCUUUCUCUA